rnacentral:lncRNA from 1 species
AAGAAAUUAAAUCAUUUUUGGGAAGCCCUCAAGGUACCAUAAGCUCUGGGCAGUGUGCCUAAGACUUCUAAUGGAGAAUUUAGCCCUGUGCAGAUGAUAUUGCAGAGGAGGAAUGCUUAGUUAAUUUAGUUCCAGGAUACCUGUGCAGGACAUGACAUGCAGGUUUGUCAUGUAGGUAAACAUGUGCCAUGGUGGUUUGCUGCACCUGUCGACCCAUCACCUAGGAAAAAAUUGGACACGGAGAUAAGGACAGAGGAAAGAUGAUGUGAAGACAGGGGCAGAAGUCAGCCAUCUACAAGUCAAAGGGAGACAUGUGGAACAGAUUCACCCUCACAGCCCUCAGAUGGAAGCAACACCACUAACACUUUGCUCUUGGACUUCUAGCUUCCAGAACUGAGAGACAAUAUCUUUCUGUUGCUUAAGUCAUUCUGUCUGUGAUACUGUGUUUAUGGCAGCCCUGGCAAACUAAUACAGUCCCACAAAGAUUUGGUUGUUGCUUUGCAAGAGAAUGUAUAAUUCCUGGUUAUUUCUACAAAUAAGGGCAUUGACUUUAUAAAGCUACAAGUAUACCCCAGUAUUCUGUUUCUGGUUUUUGUUUACUUUCAUAUAUGCUAUCUUUUCAUUCCCAGGUGAAAUCAUAGUGCAUUUUAAAUGAUAUUUUAAAGAGCAAUUAUACUCGUCAUAUGUACUUCAAAUAAUACUGAUUCCUCAAUUGAAGUAAUGGUAACAUGAGUGUAUUAGUUAAUUUUUUCUGAAUAACUAGUUACCUCCAAAGUUCAUGCCUUCAAGCAACACAUAUUCAUUAUUUCACAGCUUCUUUGGGUCAGGAGUCUUGGCAUAGCUUAGCUGAGUCCUCUGGCUCCUGGCGUCCCAGGCUGUAAUCAAGGUGGUGGCCAGGACUGUAGUCAUGUCAGGGCUCGCCAGGGAAGGAUCUGCCUCCAAGCUAACCAGUGUGGCUUUUGGCAGAAUAUAUUUCUAUGCAGGUUGUUGGACUGAGUUUCUUGCUGGCUGUUCCAGAGGUUCCCUUAGCAUCUUGUCGUGUGGCCUCUUCAUAGGUCAAUUCAUAUUGGCUUCAUCAAAGUGAGCAGGUAAGAUAGCAAAAGAGAAUGCCCAAGAUAGAAGCCAUAGUCUUUUUGUAAUCUAAUCUUAGAAGUGACAGCCUGUUAUAUUUGCUAUAUUCUCUUUGUUAGAAACAAGUUUCUAGGGCUGGGCAUGGUGGCUCACAUCUGUAAUCCCAGCAUUUUGGGAGGCCGAGACAGGCAGAUCACCUGAGGUCAGGAGUUCGAGACCAGCCUGGCCAACAUGGCGAAAUCCUGUCUCUACUAAAAAUACAAAGCCGAGUGUGGUGGCGCAGGCCUGUAAUCCCAGCUACUUGGGAGGCUAAGGCAGGAGAAGCACUUGAACCUGGGUGGUGGAGGUUGCAGUGAGCCAAGAUUGUGCCACUGCACUCCAGCCUGGGUGACAGAGUGAGACUCCAUCUCAAAAAACAAACAAACAAAAAACCAAAUUACUAGGUUUGUCUCAUUCUCAAGGGAAGAGUUUACUCAAGAGAAUAAAUACCAGGAGGUUGGGAUCACUGGAGGCCAGUUUAGAGUCUGCCUACCAAUAGGAGCAAGGCCAUCAAUGUCAGUCAGUGACAUCAACAUCAUGUAGACUGCUUGGCCAACAGUAAUGCUAAAAUGCCAUCAAUCUUGAGAUCAUCUUCAUCUCAUAAAUAUUAACAUGUAAAAAAAGUCAUUUUAAAGUAAAGAAAAUAUGUUAUUUUUUAACAUUUGAAACAGCCCCUGAAGUCAUGUUUUAGAACAUUUUCUCAUCAUUUUUUGUGUGACUUUUAUAAUAUCUUUUAUAUUAUAUGUUAUAAUAGGGAAUAAAGAAAGUAAAAUAACUCCAAAUCAAAUUUUGAGCACUUACCAAUUAUUAAAUCAUUUAAACAGUCAGGAAAUGGAUACUACUGUGUUCUAGAAAUGGGUACCAACUCUCAAAAUGUUUCACAUACUCAUGGAAAUAACAUGGCUUUAAUGGAAGGGCUUAGGGAGUUCUGCUUCAAGCUGGCUGAUCAGAAAAAGGAGAAGCCUCAGAAAGGAAGUGGGAUCUGUACAUGCACCCAGGAAGCACAGCUUUAGUGUCAAUGGAGAAGUUUCGAAUAGCAAAAUUCUCCACUGAACUUGCUGAAAGCACGAGAGGAGAAAGAAGCAUUUGCAGGCCCAGAUGAUACCUAAGAGAGGACUGUGCAUUGCUUUUCAACCUCCACAUGUCAGUACUCAAGGGAUAAGCUGAAUUUUAAAAAUUUACUUUUGUAUUUGUUUCAUUGUAUAUUACUACCUGUUCACUAUAGCUAAUUGGGAAACUUACAAAAAUUAGAAAUAAUAAGAUUCCUCUUUCCCCAAAGUCACCACUAUCCUGAAUUUUAAAACUAGAGCUUACUUUUGCAAUCUUGACACUUUAUUUCACUACCGUCAUAUAGUAUCCUUCUGUGUCUCAGUCCUUUUUCUUUUUUUGACAUUGUUAUGAAGUUCAUCCAUGUUGUUGCAUGGGCUAAGGCUCAUUUUUAUUGCUGAAUAAUGUCAUAUUGUAUGAAUGUACUAAAUAUUCUUAGUCAUCCUUCUGUUGAGGGUAUUUGUGCUGUUUCCAGUUAGGACUUUCACAAAUCAUGGUUUCAUGAACAUUCUUUGUGAUGGCUAAUAUCAGGUGUCAACUUGAUUAGAUUGAGGGAUGCCUAGAUGGCUGGUCAUUGUUUCUGGGUGUGUCUGUGAGGGUGUUGCCAGAGGAGAUUGAUAUUUGAGUCAGUGGACUGGGAGAGGAAGAUCUCAUGCUCCUCAAUGUGAGUGGGAACCAUCCAAUCCAUGGCCAGCAGUCCUCUCUCAGACAAAAACAAAGCAGGUGGAAGAAGGUGGGAUAAGUUGGCUUGCUGAGUCUUCUGGCUUUCAUCUUUCUCCUGUGCUGGAUCGUUUUUGUCCUUGGACAUCAGACUCCAUGUUCUUCCGCCGUUGGACUCUUGGACUUACAGCAGUAGUUUUGCUGGGGGCUUUUGGGCCUUUGGCCACAGACUGAAAACUGCACUGUCAGCUUCUUUGGUUUUGAGGCUUUUGGACUCAGACUGAGGCACUAUUGGCUUCUUUCUUCCCCAGUUUGCAGAAGUCAUAUUGUGGACUUUGCCUUGUGAUCGUGUGAGCCAAUUCUUCCUAAUAAACUCUCUUUCAUAUAUACAUAUAUCCUAUUAGUUCUGUUCCUCCAGAGAACCCUGACUAAUAUACUCAUAGAUAUGCUUUUUGGUACACGAUUUCAAGCAUAUAUUUGGUGUAAACCUAAGAGUGAGAUUGUCACAUCACAGGACUUUCAAAUGCUCAACUUGAAUGGUUAAUGUUGAACUGCUUUCCAAAGAAGUGAGGCCAACUCAUACCCUACCAGUCAUGUUUCUCUGUUUUUUUUUCAAAGAUUUUGGUAGUAUCAGUCUUUGCAAUAUUAGCCAUUUUGUUGAGUAGGUAGUAGUGUGUCAUUUUGGUUUUCACUGGAUUUUGUGAUGACAAAUGAAGUUGAACACUUUUACUUAGCUAUACUUUCAGUUUAGUUUACUUGUAAUUAGUUACAGUGUUUAAUGGCUGUUUGGGUCUCUUCUUUCAUGAAGUGCCUAUUCUUGUCUUUUGCCUAUUGUUUCCUAUUGGCUUGUUUGCAUUUUUGUUAGUGAUUUCUAAAAAGUCUCUAUAUAUUUGGGAUAAGUGGCUGUGACUCAGUUUUAUAACGUAUAAAAUAGAAAUAAUAAUGCUCCCCACAUAUGACAUUGUUAUGAGGAGUGUAUUAGUUAAUACACAGAAAAGCUUCAAGCCAAAUGUGGCACAGAGUAAGUGCUCAGUAUUAUUGUGCUUAGCCGAAAGAACACUGCUAAGAACUGUGGACACAGAAAUCCAAAGAGGCCUUCUAACUUCCAUUCAACACAUUUUGCCUUGCACAACAACUUCUCAGAAGUUCUGAAACUCACUAUACUUGCCCCUAAUUGUGCCCCAGUACUAGCUUUAGUGAGAAGUACUGUGAUAAUUUUGUUACAAUCCCAACACUAUUUUUUAAAAUUGUAUUUUUCCUUGUAGAAGAAGGCAGUUUUCAAGCUGCAAAUUGAUAGGGAAGCACUUAUUCUCACAGGCACUGCAUGGUACAAUUGGCAUUUAGCAUGUUCAUUGCAAAAGUUUUAAAAGAAUAGCACUGCAGCAGGAGAAAGAGGAAGACAACGACAAUAACAACAACAACAAAGCAAAGUAAAAACUACUCCCUGAAUGCAGAAAUAAAAUGUAUUAAAAAUUAAAGGGUGCACAAUGGGAGCAAUUAAGUGUUUUAGGCCAAGUGCCCAUUCUUGCCUCAUCCAAAUUCCCUUGGUUCACUGGCCACAUUUAAGAAAAAAGGGACAAUUUUUAUCUUCUGCCCUAGUGAAAAUUGUUUUGCUCCCAGUAGCCAGACAAUAAAAAUUUCCUAUAAACAAAUAAACACACUUUAAUCACCGUGGUUAUUCUCCUUCUAUCAGUGGAAUUUUCACAGAUAAAGUUUGUUGAGGAGGAUAGAAAAACCACAAUUUAGGCCUUUGAAACCAAAAAUGACAGAAAAAUCUUUCAUUUAUUAUUCCUCGUGGACAAUAGCUCUUAAUAUCUUCCUUCUAGGUUUCUUAAUUAAAUUCAGCUUCUUAUAUUUUUCUCUUGAUUCACCCACUUUCAUUCCCAGAUUAACCUAGAUCUUCAUAACUAUAAUUUCUCAACUGUAAAAUUUCAUUUACCUCAUUUAAAUUUCUGUAGAUUUCUCUCCCCAAGUGGAAAGUUUGAUUAUUCACUCUUUCACCUUUCUCCCCAGGCAAUAAAACUAUGCUGCUUAGACUAGUGCUAACUGAUUUAUAAACAGUCAAAUAAAUUGCAUUAUUCUGUAUAAUUCAUAUAUGUGUGAAUAUAGAGUGACUUUAGAAAGUGACAGUGAUAGUCCUAGCCUGUGAAGAAUGGCCACCAUCUUCAAAGAUCCUUCUGAAGCGUUAUCUUUUCCACACAAUCUCUGAUUUCUUCUUGGGGAAAGGACUAGUUUUCUCUUUCAAAUCCCCCAGCAUGUCUCCAAGGGCAUUAUAGUUGAUUAGUUCAUUUUUUCCUGAUCAUCUGCUCCCUGCAUCUCCAUAGAGGAUGAGACAUACCUGCCUCUUGCUAUAUGACUUUCAGUGGCCCCCUGUGCUUUUCUGUCACUGGUGCCAGGCUUGGCCAAGUGACAUUCUUCAGUCAACGGAAGGGGAGCAGAUUAGUUCCUUCUGAGAGGAAGUUUUCAAAGGCAUUAUAAGUUUUUACCAGCUUCAUUGCUCUUUUCCUGUGCCAAGUUCCUUCGGCUUGGUCCCAAGAAUGAGAAGGCACAUGGAACCAUGGGACCUGAGCUGUGGCCUCCUACAUGUGACAUGAGCAAGAAAGAAAUAUCUGAGGUUUGGGGGUCAUUGGUUACUUCAGCACUUAGCACUUUAUUGAAAUUGUUUGUUUGUUUGUCUUAUUCAAGGUGCAUUCAGGAAAUGCAUCUUCUUCGUUGGAUGUCUGCAUAGUCUGGAGCUUGGCAGUUGGUGGGAGCUAAUAAAUGUUUGUGGAAUAAGUGAAUGAUUCAAUGAAGAUCUCCAAUGAGAAGCAUCUAUUAUCUGCCAUGGCAAUUGUGCUGACUGGAGAAUGUUUCUUACCCUGAGCAGAAAUUGAAUCCUCCUGUACUUCCACUAUGGGUUUUAGUUAUAUCCCUUAGGCUCCUAUAAAACCGUCUAAUUCCUCAUCCAUAUGACAGCCCUCUAAUGCCUGAAAGCAGUGCUACUAUUCAUCUUAGGAUUUUAUCUUUGCAGAAUAGGUAUUCCCAGUCCUUAUCCAUUUUGGUAUCUCCCAUGGUUUUAAUGUCCUUGGUUUCCUGGGGGUCCUCUUUGCAGGUGCUCUUGAUGCAUGUCUCUCUUAGCACAUGGGAUCUGCAAUUAGCAUCAUUAUCCAUGUGUGGUCAGAGUAGCACAGGGUGAGGAAAGAGUGUCUCCUCCCUCUGUCUAGACAAAUUAUACUGAGUCUAACACAGCCUCCAGUUGCCUUCACUGGUCUUGGCAGCCCCAUCAUGCUGCUGACCCAUGUGGAGUCAACCAAAUCCCUUAAGUCUUUUCCAGGAGCCUUUAUUGUCAAGCUCUGCCUCAACUUGUGCAGGUGGUUUGGGGAAUCCAAAUGUAGAUCUUUAUACUUUUCCCUGUUUGCCUACUCCCCUCAUUUCAUCUAGUUACUGAUUUCUGUCUACAGUAUUUUGGGAAAUGAAGGCUUUGGUUUCUGGGAAAGGAAAUGCAGCAGGUAGUCCACACAAAGGAGAAACAACUGUGUCUUGUUAAUCCUGGUAUGGCUAGAGAGCUCCAUUUUCAGGUUCUGCAAUGUAUACUUCACUAUGUGAGGUAGCUCAUUUCUAGUACUGUACUGUCUUUGCUUGGUUUCUCAGGGGGAAUAGAAGAGUAGCAUCAAUAGCACACACCAACAAGAAGCUCUAUGUGUGACAUAUAGACUGACUGUAAGGUGUUCCCCAUAACCCCUGCUUCCCGGUAAUCAUGCUCUUUGAUUAUCCCCUUGGCUUGAGUAUAGACAUGUCCUGUAACUUGCUUCUAUCCAAUGGAAUAUGGCAAAGCCAAUGGGAUAUAUGUGAUUGCAUGUACAUAAUUAUAUUUGGUGUGAUUGUAACAUUGCUUCCUUGCUGGCUGUGAGGAGCAAGGUUCUAGGCUGUGAUCUGUUCCCUGGGAAGAGGCCACAUAGUCAGAAACUGAGGGCAACUUCUAGCUGACAGCUAGCAAGAAGCUAAGGCCCUCAACCUGACAGCUUGCCAGAAACAGGAUGCUAUCAACAACCAAAUGGGCCUGGAAAAUGAUGCUUUCCCAGUCCACCCUUGAAGUGAGGUUGCAGCACUGGCUGAUGCCUUGAUUGCAGCUUCCAGAUGAGACUCUGAGGCAGAUGAUUCAACAAAGCCAGGCCCGACUCCUGAUCCAUGGAAACUGUGAUAUA